GUGCUCACUUCAGCAGCACAUAUACUAAAAUUGGUACAAUACCAAGAAGAUUAGCAUGGCCCCUGUGCAAGGAUGACAAGCAAAUCUGUGAAGCAUUCCAUGUUUUA